GGGUGUGAGGAAGAUCUUGCUGCGACAUCCGUCACCCCACUGAUCGCCAGGGUUGAUUCGGCUGAUCUGGCUGGCUAGGUGGGUGUCGCCUUCCUCCCUCACCGCUCCAUGUGCAUCCCUCCUGAAGCUGCGGUCAAGGGUAGCUGUGCUCCCCUGCUAGAACCUCCAAACAAGCUCUCAUAAAGCAGGGUUAUUUUAUAUAAUGUUUACCUUUAUACAUAUAUGUGGUUCCAUAGCAUUCUGU
rnacentral:snRNA from 1 species